rnacentral:lncRNA from 14 species
GACUUGGCAGUGAUUUGACUUGUACACUGACAGAAGGCACAUGAACAACUGUUUAUUUCCGGAGUCUUCCUGGGAGCUUUUUGGAUGAAUAGAUAUUUUCCUGAGAAAUAAGUCUGAGAUUUAUCAAUGAUUCCACUGUGGAUCCCUACAUCUCUGUAUUUCUUUCCUCAAAUGAAGCAACCGGAUACAAAGCUGUGCCAUGGUCUUUGACAAAUACUGCAGAAAGAAUAAAACUUGGAGAAACUGUUACUGCUUUGGUGGCCUGUAUUUCAACAGCUCUUUGCCAUCUUUCUGUGAAGACUGAUGCUGUACUGGGGAGGACAAAGCUCAAGAAAUGGUGA